rnacentral:rRNA from 1 species
CUAAAAACCCCCCYUUUUUCMAAAUUUAAGACCUCAAAUCAGGRGGGACUACCCGCUGAACUUAAGCAUAUC